AGUGAACGCUGGCGGUAGGCCUAACACAUGCAAGUCGAACGGCAGCACAGUAAGAGCUUGCUCUUACGGGUGGCGAGUGGCGGACGGGUGAGGAAUACAUCGGAAUCUACUUUUUCGUGGGGGAUAACGUAGGGAAACUUACGCUAAUACCGCAUACGACCUACGGGUGAAAGCAGGGGAUCUUCGGACCUUGCGCGAUUGAAUGAGCCGAUGUCGGAUUAGCUAGUUGGCGGGGUAAAGGCCCACCAAGGCGACGAUCCGUAGCUGGUCUGAGAGGAUGAUCAGCCACACUGGAACAGAGACACGGUCCAGACUCCUACGGGAGGCAGCAGUGGGGAAUAUUGGACAAUGGGCGCAAGCCUGAUCCAGCCAUACCGCGUGGGUGAAGAAGGCCUUCGGGUUGUAAAGCCCUUUUGUUGGGAAAGAAAAGCAGUAGGUUAAUACCCCGCUGUUCUGACGGUACCCAAAGAAUAAGCACCGGCUAACUUCGUG
rnacentral:rRNA from 1 species